rnacentral:rRNA from 1 species
CCUACGGGUGGCAGCAGUGAGGAAUAUUGGUCAAUGGGCGCGAGCCUGAACCAGCCAAGUCGCGUGAGGGAAGACGGUCCUAUGGAUUGUAAACCUCUUUUGUCGGGGAGCAAAAGACGCCACGCGUGGCGUUCCGAGAGUACCCGAAGAAAAAGCAUCGGCUAACUCCGUGCCAGCAGCCGCGGUAAUACGGAGGAUGCGAGCGUUAUCCGGAUUUAUUGGGUUUAAAGGGUGCGCAGGCGGAAGAUCAAGUCAGCGGUAAAAUUGAGAGGCUCAACCUCUUCGAGCCGUUGAAACUGGUUUUCUUGAGUGAGUGAGAAGUAUGCGGAAUGCGUGGUGUAGCGGUGAAAUGCUUAGAUAUCACACAGAACACCGAUUGCGAAGGCAGCUUUCCAAGCUAUUACGGACGCUGAGGCACGAAAGCGUGGGGAGCGAACAGGAUUAGAUACCCGAGUAGUC